UGUUAUACAAGUGGCCUUUUAGGGAAGGCUCCACUGUUGCCCUAUUAUCUGUUCCUUCAGAAAUAAUGUUUUAUUCAGCGGAAAUUAGAAACGGUUACUUCGGGAAAUUACGUCAGGUAAUAUACCAACUACCAACAACUAACUUGAAGGAAAGAAGUGGGGCAGGAGAGCCAGAGGAAGGCAAAAAAUAACACGGAUGGACAACAUAAGAACAUGGACUGGCAUGGAUAUGACAGCAUGUACAAUGGCAGCUCGCGACCGUGAAAGAUAGAGGGUCAUUACAGGUCAACCUCUGAGUCAGAGAUGACACUCCCAGGUAUUCAGAUAGACACUAAAAAAACAUAUUUGUAGGUUAUAUACUAACAUAGUUUCAUCUCUCACUUUGACAAACAUGGAAAUGGGCUGGUCACAACAGUAGA